rnacentral:rRNA from 1 species
UACGUAGGGCGCAAGCGUUAUCCGGAAUUAUUGGGCGUAAAGAGCUCGUAGGCGGUUGGGUAAGUCGGGUGUGAAAACUCAGGGCUCAACUCUGAGACGCCACUCGAUACUGCCCUGACUCGAGUCCGGUAGGGGAGCGUGGAAUUCCCGGUGUAGCGGUGAAAUGCGCAGAUAUCGGGAGGAACACCAGUGGCGAAGGCGGCGCUCUGGGCCGGAACUGACGCUGAGGAGCGAAAGCGUGGGUAGCAAACAGG